UACAGAGGUCUCAAGCGUUGUUCGGAUUCAUUGGGCGUAAAGGGUGCGUAGGUGGCGGGGCAAGUUUGGUGUGAAAUCCCGGGGCUCAACCUCGGAACUGCACUGAAUACUGCCUUGCUAGAGCACUGGAGAGGGAACUGGAAUUUACGGUGUAGCAGUGAAAUGCGUAGAUAUCGAUAAGGAAGACCAGUGGCGAAGGCGAGUUCCUGGACAGUUGCUGACACUGAGGCAGCGAAGGACGUAGGGGAGCAAAGCGGG
rnacentral:rRNA from 1 species